AGACAGCGCUAUCGCGCUUCCUCAGCCCGAACGGCAUCGAAGUAACGAUUGGAUAAAACAAGCUUGUUAUCCAUAACUCGUU
rnacentral:ncRNA from 1 species